ensembl:lncRNA
UGCACGGAUCUGUAAAAAGAGGACUAAUCUGCCGAAAGGAUUUUAAAUUGGGAACUUUUAAGACUGACCUGCCGAAAAGGUCUGCGUGACUGUGUAAAUCUCUGUGUAAAUGUUUGUGUUUUCUGUGUGUUGAGAGUGAAUUGAUUUAAACAGCACAAUACGUUGCUGAAUCACUCUCAUUGUUAUUGUUAUUUUAUUUCCUGUCAGUAGCUGAAGUACUGGUGACAAAAGAGAAGGGUUGAGUUCCGCCUCAUAAAACUAACACCGCUCCACUAAAUAGAGUGGAGGAGAAGGGCGUAGUCAGUAACCACUCUUUAAGUCUAAUACCAGAGAAAGCUCUGCAGUUCUGUUUUAAUGGGUAAUCAGCCCACUAAGUUUACUGUUGACGAACAGUGGUUAGAAAGAAAAAAAAUGUCCAGGCGCCGGACAAAUUAGUGUGCAAAGAUGGAGAAAACCUAAAAAGACCAAAUGUUCCACCUGGGAAGGAAAAUGUAGCCCAUCUGCACUAUCAGAACUUAAAGGAGCAUUACUGAAAGAACUAGGAGAGACAAAAGAUUUAAAGAAAAAAGGAAAACGCACGCAAGAAUUAGAAUAUUUCCAAGUAUGGAAGCGAGAGGCAGAUAGACGAUGUGAGAAUAAACAAAAGAAACAAGAAAAGAAAAAAGAAAAGGCAGGAGUAUCAAACCCCCCACCAUAUGCACCGCUCUUUGGAGCAGCAUUAAUACUGAAGCCAACCCCCACUCCUGCUGCUGUGAAGCCAACCCCCACUCCCGCUGCUGCGACCCCCCUUAAACUAUCCUGUGAUCUGUUUAGACCUCAAUCUGGUCUUUAUGCAGAGGCACAAAACAUGUUAGAUAAAAUGGCACUAGGUGAAAAUCCACAGAAAAAAUAGGAAAAGAUCGCUACGGACGAGAUAUGGGAGGUGAUGUCGAACCACCUGGUCCUCCUGGCAUUUUUCCCAUGAUAGUAGUACCAAACCCCAGAUACGGCCAACCCACAGGGGAAGGUGAAGUAGAUGGAGGGGCACAACAUGAUAAUAACCCAAA